rnacentral:misc_RNA from 1 species
UCCGGUUUGUCACCGGCAGUCACUCUAGAGUGCCCAUCCGAAAUGCUGGCAACUAGAAUUAAGGGUUGCGCUCGUUGCGGGACUUAACCCAACAUCUCACGACACGAGCUGACGACAACCAUGCACCACCUGUCACCUUUGUCCCGAAGGAAAGGCUUAUCUCUAAGCCGGUCAAAGGGAUGUCAAGACCUGGUAAGGUUCUUCGCGUUGCUUCGAAUUAAACCACAUGCUCCACUGCUUGUGCGGGUCCCCGUCAAUUCCUUUGAGUUUCAGUCUUGCGACCGUACUCCCCAGGCGGAAUGCUUAAUGUGUUAACUUCGGCACUAAGGAGUUCGUGCUCCCUAACACCUAGCAUUCAUCGUUUACGGCGUGGACUAC